ensembl:lncRNA
CAGUGCAAAAUGUGCAUGCAGUUUGUUGGUGCUACGCUGUACACGGAGUUAGAUGCUAAAGAAGAGAAUAAUUAAACAGUAAAGCGUUACAGCAACUCCUAGAUUUCUGGUCGGAAGGCGCACACGUUUAAUGAUUCAGCUCCCAAACUGCUGGAAAUGUGGGACGGGUUCUAACUCUUCACCAAAACUGCUUUAUCCUGGAGAAGAGGUUUGAGAUGAGACUCCUGUCAUACGCCGGUCCUGUUUACAGUGUGGAUCCUUCAGUAGAUCAGAGAGCAGCUUCACUCCUGAUUUUCCUGGAUUAUUACCCUUCAGAUCCAGCGAUACUGUCUCACUGCCAAUCAGCGAUACCGUCUCACUGCCAGUCGACGAUACCGUUUCACUGCCAAUCAACAAUACCGCCUCACUGCCAUGAGUUAAUCCAUCCAUCCAUCCAUCCAUCUUCUAUACCACUUACUUCUUUUCAGGGUCACGGGGGAACCUGGAGCCUAUCCCAGGGAGCAUCGUGCACAAGGCGGGGUACACCCUGGACAGGGUGCCAGUCCAUCACAGGGCACACAAACACAUACACAUUCACACACCCAUUCAUACACUAUGGACACUUUGGACAUGCCAUUCAGCCUACCAUGCAUGUCUUUGGACGGGGGAGGAAACCGGAGUACCCGGAGGAAACCCCCGCAGCACGGGGAGAACAUGCAGACUCCGCACACACAUGGUCAUGGUGGGAAUCAUAUGUGUAUGUGUGUGUUUUAUAAAAAAUGGUAAGCUUCUUAAAGUCUGAAACAGUUUGGCUGAGUGGGUUUGGACUGUGUGUGUGUGUGUGUGUGUGUGUGUGCGCGCGCGCGCGCACAGUGAGUUCAUGAUAAAAGUUUC